rnacentral:rRNA from 1 species
CCCUUAGAUGUUCUGGGCCGCACGCGCGCUACACUGAUGCAUUCAACGAGUCUAAAACCUGGUCUGAUAGGGCUGGGUAAUCUUUUGAAUGUGCAUCGUGAUUGGGAUAGAUGAUUGCAAUUCUUCAUCUUCAACGAGGAAUGCCUAGUAAACGCAAGUCAUCAGCUUGCAUUGAUUACGUCCCUGCCCUUUGUACACACCGCCCGUCGCUCCUACCGAUUGAAUGUUCCGAUGAAUACCAUGGACUGAGAGUAUGAAUGGGUUCGCCUAUUUCUGCCUCUCGGGAAGUGGAGUAAAUCUUAACAUUUAGAGGAAGGAGAAGUCGUAACA